UAAUCAUUUGAGAGAUUGACAUAAAAUACCC
rnacentral:piRNA from 1 species